rnacentral:rRNA from 1 species
CUACGGGUGGCAGCAGUGGGGAAUAUUGGACAAUGGGCGAAAGCCUGAUCCAGCCAUGCCGCGUGUGUGAAGAAGGCCUUCGGGUUGUAAAGCACUUUCAGUGGGGAAGAAAGCCUUGGGGCUAAUACCCUCGAGGAAGGACAUCACCCACAGAAGAAGCACCGGCUAACUCCGUGCCAGCAGCCGCGGUAAUACGGAGGGUGCGAGCGUUAAUCGGAAUUACUGGGCGUAAAGCGCGCGUAGGCGGUCUGAUAAGCCGGUUGUGAAAGCCCCGGGCUCAACCUGGGAACGGCAUCCGGAACUGUCAGGCUAGAGUGCAGGAGAGGAAGGUAGAAUUCCCGGUGUAGCAGUGAAAUGCGUAGAGAUCGGGAGGAAUACCAGUGGCGAAGGCGGCCUUCUGGACUGACACUGACGCUGAGGUGCGAAAGCGUGGGUAGCAAACAGGAUUAGAUACCCGAGUAGUC